UGCACCCCAUCGCCUGCCCAGUUGUGGGUUCCCACAAGAAUGGCCCCGGGAGGCCUCUGUGCCUGAGAAUACAGUGUCCUCUUCACCACCCAUCUUCUCAGCCCCGCUCUAGAGCCCCCUUCACUGAGGACAUACCGCAAAAGGAAAUAAAGAUUGUAGAAACUCAUCUGGGCCACAGCUCAGCAUGUGACGGAUGACCAACUUCAGGUAGUGUAUGAACAAUGAUAACCAGCUCCAAUCAGACAAAAUAACCCAAGUGUAAUACCCACAAUACUAUUUCCUGUGCCAAUGGCUUCUGAUCGCUUCCAAUGUUUGGCAGAUCCUCCCUCUAAUGACGGUGAGAGACAAGGCUCAUUCCCAACAACAAAAGCUGAAAACAUCAUGUCUUUGCCUUCCCAGUCAAGCAGGGGAUCUAAGCUGGGCCAAUAAGAUGCCCCCGACCUGACGGCGACUGGGGAACCGGUGAUGUAAGACACAGAACAAGAGGAGCCUUUCUGACAUGGAUGGCAAGAGCUGCCACACUCAGCAUCUGGGGCAACACUGAUAAGGAUACCCACCCGCAUGCAAAGCCAGCAGCACCGGGGCGCAUGCGCCAGAUCAGUGCUCGGUUUGGAGUUUGGCCUCGGUUACAGCUGAAGAGGCACCCUCUGUUCCUAUUUUCCAAACCUAGCUUCCCUGCUGGUGCAAAAAAUCAGUGGGCUUUCCUAAAUCCUCUCAGGGUGUUCCACCCUACUGAAAUAAGAGUUCUGGUUCUGCUGCUUACCGCCGAGAACCCAGCUAAUCACAACCUCCCGUCCCAGCGGUCAGUUCAGCGGCAGCUUGGCCCAGAGAGUAGAUAUCUACGUCCAGGAAGCCGCUUCCGCAAGGGCUUUUGGAUAACGGUAGCCUUAAUCUAAAGCUGAUUCAUACAUUGCUUUGGAGGAGCCCACGCCCGCCCGUCUCGACAGAGCUCUGUAAGCCGAGAUAGCUCGGGGAAAUGGUCUAGACACAUUGGGUCCCUCCAAGUCUGGACAUCAGCAGCCACCGGGGGAUGGAGUAAAGAGAGACGUGGACCUCGCAUUCCAGGCCACUGAACACUGAACAGUGUUUUACAAGCUCUCGGUGAUCUGCCGUGACCAACCAGACUUCCUUCCAGCCCCUGUAGUGCCUAUGUGAGGUUUUUACACUUAACUGGGCAAUGAUUCUCCAGCUGGCUCUUUACCAAACAAUGAGAACUGCUGGGUGUGCCUUCCCCUCGCUGCCUGGCACAGCCAGCCUAGGCUUACAGACGGAGCCUCCUUUACAUCUUCAGACAGCCCCAAGACAGCAGAGCAGACAAGUCUGGAUUUAUUAAAAGGGCUCCUGUGUGUGGCAUUGUGCAGCAGACUACAGGUCCCUCGAGGCGGAGACUGUCUUCUCUUUCCUGUGUCCUUGGUACCCAGGUUGGAGGAAGUCACCACAGGAAACAAUCCCCUGCCUGAACCGAGAAGUCGGAACAGAGGGAGGAAAGCAAAUGACCACAGAAAAACAGCCUCUGAGCAGACCAGGGGGAAGCGAUGAGCACUAGUGUUGGGUAUCUAAGAAAACCUCACUGGAGAACUGCUGACUGUGAAAGCCACAAACCCUACCCCAGGGCUAGAAUAACCAAUUUUGCCAAGAGUAACAAGAAGAACUAGGGAGGUCACUGUGUAAACACACUAGAAAGAAAGAAAAAAAAAAUGAAGAACCAAGCAGAAAUGGAAAGUCGGAUCCCUCUGGAUCAGAGGCAGUAGCCAAGUGGUCCUCUUAGGAGGUAAAGGGCUGGAUUUAUUUCUUGCGUGACCAAAUAAAUAUCCUCACGAUGCUGCUAGGCAGCAGCUGCCUGCCCCUGCUUGGAAGGAGACCGUGUUGGAAGGAAAAGCGGCUUUCUCCAGCUUACCGACAGCUGAGGAGGCAGGGACAAUAAGGAAGACAAAGAUUGAUCAGGGACCGAUAAACAUGCAAGCCCCGCAUUAAUAUGCUUAUCUUGGUGA